UACGAAGGGGGCUAGCGUUGUUCGGAUUUACUGGGCGUAAAGCGCACGUAGGCGGUUUGUUAAGUCAGGGGUGAAAUCCCAGAGCUCAACUCUGGAACUGCCUUUGAUACUGGCAAGCUAGAGUCCGGAAGAGGUAAGUGGAACUCCUAGUGUAGAGGUGGAAUUCGUAGAUAUUGGGAAGAACACCGGUGGCGAAGGCGGCGACCUGGUCCGACACUGACGCUGAGGCGCGAAAGCGUGGGGAGCAAACAGG
rnacentral:rRNA from 1 species